rnacentral:rRNA from 1 species
GAUGAACGCUGGCGGCGUGCCUAAUACAUGCAAGUCGAGCGAAUGGAUUAAGAGCUUGCUCUGAUGAAGUUAGCGGCGGACGGGUGAGUAACACGUGGGUAACCUGCCCAUAAGACUGGGAUAACUCCGGGAAACCGGGGCUAAUACCGGAUAACAUUUUGAACCGCAUGGUUCGAAAUUGACAGGCGGCUUCGGCUGUCACUUAUGGAUGGACCCGCGUCGCAUUAGCUAGUUGGUGAGGUAACGGCUCACCAAGGCAGCGAUGCGUAGCCGACCUGAGAGGGUGAUCGGCCACACUGGGACUGAGACACGGCCCAGACUCCUACGGGAGGCAGCAGUAGGGAAUCUUCCGCAAUGGACGAAAGUCUGACGGAGCAACGCCGCAUGAGUGAUGAAGGCUUUCGGGUCGUAAAACUCUGUUGUUAGGGAAGAACAAGUGCUAGCUGAAUAAGCUGGCACCUUGACGGUACCUAACCAGAAAGCCACGGCUAACUACGUGCCAGCCGCCGCGGUAA